CUACGGGGUGCAGCAGUGAGGAAUAUUGCACAAUGGGGGAAACCCUGAUGCAGCAACGCCGCGUGGAGGAUGACGCAUUUCGGUGUGUAAACUCCUUUUAUGAGUCAAGAAAAUGACGGUAGCUCAUGAAUAAGCACCGGCUAACUCCGUGCCAGCAGCCGCGGUAAUACGGAGGGUGCAAGCGUUACUCGGAAUCACUGGGCGUAAAGGACGCGUAGGCGGGAUGUCAAGUCAGGUGUGAAAUCCUAUGGCUCAACCAUAGAACUGCACUUGAAACUGGCAACCUAGAGUAUGGGAGGGGGAGAUGGAAUUAGUGGUGUAGGGGUAAAAUCCGUAGAUAUCACUAGGAAUACCGAAAGCGAAGGCGAUCUCCUGGAACAUUACUGACGCUAAGGCGUGAAAGCGUGGGGAGCAAACAGGAUUAGAUCCCCGUAGUC
rnacentral:rRNA from 1 species